ensembl:snoRNA
CUCCCCUUUUUUGCUUUGCCCUCUUAAGUCUGACAGUGUCUUAAGUGGCCAGUACAGAGGGGUAUAAAAGUUCUCUCUUAAACCCAGAGGUGAGGCUGAAACUCUACUUUGGAUCCUGUUGAGAGGAACACAU